rnacentral:lncRNA from 1 species
AGAGACGUAUCUAGUAAGUAAUUAUAUUAAUCAAAGAACAAAUUUACAUCGCUGUUGACUCAUCACCUUGUUCACUUUGUUUAUUCAUCAAAACACAUACAUAUACACACCUCCAUAAUACCACCAAAAACAAAUGUAAAACAAGUAGAUAACAGUAAAUCCACCCCUUGCUACACCAUUGGAUUAUUAUCCACUGGGUAAGAAGAUAACAUCACAUAGCAUAGUACUGGUAUUUAUUUAAUUUUCCUUAACACAUGACAAAGCUUUUAUUCAUUAUUUGAUCACGUAAACCGUUAUUACUAGACAUCAGUUGGAAGUUCCAACUUGGAAUCAAAGGGAUGUUGCUCUUCAAGAUCACCGUAGGGACGUUGUCCUCUCCAAUUACCAGGUGGAUCAUAAUUGCAUGUUAUAAAAUACCACCCAUUGUUGCAUCGAACCCUAGCACAACCAAGACGUACUGAGUUACGCCACACCACCUGAGUAUAGUGUCCACACACUUUUCCCGCUGCACAAGUAUUUGAAUUAUAAUUGUAAAAUUGCUUCUCAUCAACCCACAUCUUUACUGCUCCCGCCGCGUGGAGCUGAGGGUAGGCGGCGGCUAGGUUUUCGCCGUAAGGGCCACCGGAAUGCUGCAUCCUGCAGUCCCCAGCUCUCUGAUUUGCAUAAUUUUGGGCAAAGGCCGCUAACCUAUUGUCCCAUGUCAUGGGACCAACACCAACUUGUCUACGAGCUGCAUUGUGAGGGUUAAGAUAAUCUUGGGGAGAGUUUUGAGCUUGAGAUGAGUGAAAUAAUAUAGCAAAGGUAAUGAAACAAGCAACUAAUGUUGUGGAGUAUCCCAUUUUGGGUUUUGGUGAGAAACAAGGAAUAGUAUGGAUGGGUUUUAAUAGGGAAUAAGAGUUGAAAAGUCUGCAAUUUGUAAAAGAAAAAAAUUGGAAAGUCACAUGUUAGCAGACUUUAUCGGAUUAUUAAUUUGAAAGCAUAUGACAUUAGUGUUAAAGUCAAAGAAUUUCAAUGUCACAUCACGUGAGAUAAGAGCCGCCAUUAGUCAUACUUGAUGAAAACCAUAAUUGAUGUGAUUAGCUGAACAACUCUAAUAGUAAAUCAUUUUUUUCAUUAGGGCUCUUUCUCUUUAUUAUUUGGAUAACAUCAUUUUUUUUCUUUAACUUGGCAAAAGAAAUUUACAAAGUCAGUCAUGUUAGAUAUAUCUAGCUUGGAAAAUGUAGUUCUUGUAUAUGUUAUGGUUGAAGCAGGAAAACAGAAAAAGAUAGAGCGAACCAACAAGAGACAGAAUUAAUAUAAUUUUAUUUUUAUAUGAACUUAAUAAUGGUGUACUCCAUUGAAUUUUCUUAAAGUAGAGCGGAGGUAAGUAAUUGCCUAAUUGAAGAGAUAAGGCCUAAAGUUUAUGAGAUUCUACCAGACUCAGUCGGAAUAUGCUUUAAGAAAGUGACAACAUCCUAACUUAUUAUCUAUAUUUUAAAGGAAUGCAUUCAUGUUCAGAAAUUUAGCCAAGAUUUGACGUUUAUGAAUUUUGAACUUGUGUUGGAAUCUAUAUCUUCUUUUAAGUUAAUGAGUCUAUAUCUUCUUUUAAGUUAAUGAGUCUGUAAUUAAAAUAUUUAUAUAUAUUUAAUAAAUUUUCUAAUACAAGUUAAACAAAAAUUAUCGAGUUCGUCCGAACGAAUAACUAACAUUAUAGCUCUUUCAUGUUAAGUGUGAUCAAUUACUACAAGUAGGAGUGCCCUCUAUUUUAUCUGCUAUGGACGUCUUCGAUUUUUCACCUAUAUUUUGGCGGAAGAAGACGAAAGUCAUCUUUCGUAGAAAAUAAAUAUUUCUCUAUUUCUCAAAAAAAAAAAAGCAUAUAUAUUAGAAUUAAUAAUAAUAUUAGCAAAUUGGAAAGUAUUCUGAUGAAAAUUUUAAAUAUUACAGGAUAAUAAUUAAUGUCUAAAUAUUAUUUAGUUUGAAGCUAACCUUUUUGAGUUUUGAUAUUGUUUAACACCAAUCUAUAGUUAAACGCAGCAUCCAUAAAUUAAUUUCUCCUUGCAACUACUUUUUUCCAGAAACAUAAAAGCCGCCAUUAAAUAGUACUAGGAUUUAGGAUGACGAGAAGUACUACUUUGACCGUUUAAACAAAAUUUUAAUAAGGAGUACGAUUUUCUUGGUGAAUUUCUCUCUAGUCUUAGAUCAUAUCUUUCUCUGGGCCUACCAUCCAAAUUGUUCUCCUUAGUUAUCUGAUGCAGCUGCAAUGGAACAGUGAAAUAUUUGGAAGAGAAGAAGGAACAGCUAAAUUAAACUAGGAGGUUUUAUUGAUAAUAAACCCUAUCAACUAUUACAAUAGAAUGAUAGAUAUAGGUGUUUACCCUCAAAAUCGGAUAACAAUUAAAUUUAUAAGUGGUUUUAAGGAUACGCGGAUUAACUUGAUACAAAGCAAUAAAUUAAGUUUCUAUUGAAUAAACAAAGACCAAAUAAAUUUAAACCACAAGAGUUGGAUAGUUUCAGCCUAAGUGAAAUAGUCACUCUCGAACCGAACUCACAAAGACCGGUAUGGAUGAAAAAGAACAAGAACUUAAAAGACGGAUAAAAAUAAUAAUGUAUUGCUUAUGAGUGCGUGUUACAAUAUGUCAAAUGAAUGAUUAGACCCCCUUUAUAUAGUAGAAGAGUCCUAUUUUUGGUACAACUCUAUAAAAAGGUAAAAAAUCUUCUGAUUCGCUGAUUGUUGGUUCCUUAUCGAUACAUGCCGAGAUUCCAGCCGUAAUAUUCGGUUGGUCACGGAUAUUUCGGCUUUUUGUUGGCUAUGCUCGAUUGUCUGACAACGUUCUUCGAAGUCGUUCGAGGCUAGGACUGAUUCUGGGAUCAUGACCUCGAUAUUCUUGAAGGCAGGCGUCAUGCCCCCGGGUUCUAGCUCGGUGGGACUUUGGCUCGAUUUCGGUCCCUUAUUAUCAUAUCUCGAGCCUGGCUUAUCUUAUCGGAGGCUAGGAUGCACCAUGAGCUCGAUUUCACCCGUAUACAGAUAGUCCCCUCGUUUUUCGGAGAUUAAACUAUGAGAAUCGACAUGAGCUUCCGAUUCUUAUUUCGAUACACCAUGACAAAAACGACAAAGCAACUGAAACGUCUCGCCAGUCAACUCUUAAUAGCAUUAAAUGCAUGUCAGCCGCCGGUCGGCCGUCCCUGGAUGCAAAACGUCGAUGAACUAUAAAUACCCCCUCCUUUGUUCAUUUUAACGUUACAUCCAAACCUUCUACCCUCGUACCUUUAAGAUUUCAAUACUCUUUAGAACUUUUACCCUGGUUAUUCGAGUCCCUUUGCAAGAAUUUUUACCCAUCUUCAUCUCAAGACAACAAGUCUAAUCCUUCAAUCUUCCUUUCUUUUUCCACCUUUCUCAGACUUUUCUCCAUUUUUUAAAGAAAUGGCAAAGACUUCUAAGACCGUUCUCCAGAAAGAAACUCCUUCAACUUCGCGACCGGCUACUGAGGCCGAGGAGACCGUUUCGCGCGCUACCGUUUAUGAACCAGUACCCGAACUCCCUUUGAAAAUGUUUAUCCAUGGGGGAUGCUCGGUCAACGUCGAUUUCAAGGUCGAAAAGCCUUCCUCCAUAGAAGGCCGGUGUGAUGAGGUCUCGAGAUAUAUCUGCUCGAUCACCGAAGAGAUCCUCCCUACUGUCCGAAAAAACUGCAACUGGGCCGUUAAGGACAUAGUAAUCCCUGACCCCGAUGAAUCCAUUACCACCCAUGUCGAGGGAUACUUAAGUGUCUACACUUAUCCCUUUAUAUUGGGCCCGGUGGAUCUGGUCAUUUUGGAUUUCUGCAAAAGGUACAACAUGUGCCUAGGCCAGAUUCACCCAUUGCUCUGGAGGAUCAUGAUCCUCUUCCGGUUCUUUGUGAAUAAAAUUGAUGGGUGAUCGUUCACCAUCGACCAUCUUCUUUGCUUAUACAGUCACCGAAUCUUCUAGGGGGACUGAUAAAGCUUGUGCGGUGGGCUAGUAAAGCCCCGUUCUCAAGUAUUGAUGAGGACCAGGAUCGGGGCUGGCAAGGACGUUUUGUUCGAGUGAGGACUUCAGACUUAAUCCCAGCCGAGUGCAGGCCAUUCCCCGAGAAAUGGAAUACCUCACGUAAGUACGAUUUACUUUUGAAUGUCGAUUUUACACUUACUUCUCUUUUUCUUAUUGGUGCUUUGUGGUGGUGCAGCCGUCGCUUGGGUCCCAAAUGCUAUCCCUCGACUCGAAAAGUGAGUCGAGAGUAUCGUAUCACAAAUGCCCUAUUCCAAGCGCUAGUGGUGCAAGCUCUCGAAGGGCCGUUGGGAGGCCCGUUCCCAUGGUGAGACUUCUUCCCCGAGUAGGUAGUAUUAAGAUCCCUCUUUUAACGUUAAACCAUUACUCCCUUUACUUCUUUUUUACAGGUUUAUCUAAGGAUGUCGAGCUGAGGCCUCCAGCCGGUGGCGAGGAAUUACCUACCGAGUCCCUGAUCCGAGACAGGCCGAAGAGAAGAAAAGAAAUAGGGAUCUGAAUUCCCCAAGCUCGGAGAAAAAGAAAACAAGGAGAAGGUUGGUGCGUUAGUCAAAAGAAAGCACCAGCGCCCGAGCACCAGCUUCGGAUUCGCUCUAUCGUCUAAGGGACAAAUCCGAAGAAGAAGAACCUUUUGUUCCAGUGUCCCGUGAGUCGUUGCAACUCGAAAAGCAGGGGGGCCUGAACCAGAGUUUAGUGAGGCGGAUCUUCCUCAAGCCAGGGAAGGCGAUGAGGAGACUGCGGCCGAGGUUUCCCGGGAUACGGCAGUGCCCCAAAGGAGGCACUCGGUGUGAUUGACAUCAAAGAGCACUCCAACGAGGGGGCCCACGGAGCAGACGACCCCCUCCGCUGCUUUUUUGAUGGCAUGGAUUCCACCGCCACAGAAGACAUCACCGGAUUGGGUGACAUAGAGGUACCAAGAAAAAGUCCGUACUCGGGGGCAAGUGGGCCUAACUCGAUCCCGAAACUAAUCAACCGAUUCCCUGCCCCGAGUGUGGAUCCUAAUCGUAAGCGGUCUAUCAUUAUCAAUGUUCCAGAGGAUGCCUGGGUCCUUUCCGCCCCCAUAGGGGUGUCCAGUUACCUUCGGUGCCUUAUGACCGAAGAAGACCAAGCCAAAAUCAACGAGGUAGACGAGCCCUGCCUAUUCAACGAAGCACAAAAGGCGUUGAACCGGGUAACUAUAAAUAACUCUCGAUGAUUUCAAUUUUUCCUCUUAUACUUGAACUAAUUCAUGGAUAAUCCUAACAUUUUUCUUCGUAUUUGUAGGCCUCGGUGCUUCACCACGAAACUUUCCUCCGGUAUCGAGAUGAGCUGAACCAACUCGAAGCCGAAGUCGGAGAUCUUACUGAGAAGAGAGACACGUAUAAACUUCUCAGCGAGCAUAGUGAAGGAGAGGCUAAUAGCCUUUGAGAUGAGUUAGAAGCGGCUCAGAAAGAACACGCCGACCUGGUUGAACAGGUAAAAUUUUUUGAAGUUAGUGACGAUGAGCUAGACAAGGUGACUAAUGGUCGGAACCCAUAGGUCCAACAGAACAUUGAUCGGAUCGACCAACUUCGAGCUGAGAUGGAUGCAGCCAAGGUCGAGGCCGAAGAGUGGAGAGGCAAGAUGGACCGUCUGGCCUCAAAAAAGGAUAUUGCCCGGGCGCAGUUGACCUCGACGGAGGCCUAGCUUCGAGCGAUGAGGGAAAAGGCUAACGGUCCCAAAAGAUCGAGGAGCUCCAGCCUCAGCUAAGCUCGACUAUUUUUGAUCGAGAGACCCUUGCCAAGGAGCUUAAAGCGGCCAAGUCUAUGGUUGAAGUAACCAAAGCUAAUGCCGACAAGAUGGUGGCCCAGUAUAAGGCCGAUGCUGAGGCAGCCCAGGACCGUCUGAAAGAUAUCGUCGAAUAUGUAAAGUGGCAGUCUCGAAGAAAGGCCCUCGAGGAAGUUCAUGCUCGGGGUUUUGAUUUGUCGGUCGAGGACGAAACUGCUAAGGGGCUUGAAGCCGAGGCCAAGAAACUGGUGUAUCCCGAGGACAAAGAAGACUCCGAGAGUUCGGGCGGAUCCGGGGGCGGAGAAGACUUUGAUGAUCCCGGUGACGAGGCAAGCUUUGGUGGAGACCAAGUUGUUUAAGUGCCUUGUAUAUUUUUCUUUGUUUUUGUAAUUUUGUAAUUUUUUUGUCAAGGCCGUUUGGCCUUUNNNNNNNNNNNNNNNNNNNNNNNNNGAUAUCGAAUGCCUUAGCACGUAAUAACUAGGUCUUGUUCAGAGGUUCGAACAUGCCUUGCUCUCGAUAUUAUUUUGUUUAAGACUCGUGGGGGCUCGGUAUGACUGGAAGUUUUCCCCAAAGUACUUAGAAUAUUUUAGAUUAUAAUUUGUCGAGGGUAGCCUUUUGAACCGGUUUAAAAAUUUUGAAGGCAUUGUUUUUUGUUACGGGUCUCAGACGUCUUCGAGCCAUUUUAAUACAGUCGUAGCCUUUCUAGUUCGGGUAUUGCCUAGUGGGCUUGUUACCCUGAGUCAUCCGGGCUUAACCGAGAUAACUAUUCCCGAAUAGGGGUGGCUGUAGCCUUUAAAGUUCAGGCACUACCAAAUAAGCUUUGUGCCCCCGGACUUUAUUUUCUUGGGAUGUCCAAACCUGCAUUGGGCAGCAGUCCCUGAGUGAGGUGGCCCUUAGGCUCGAUGUUUUCGGGAGAUCAAAUGUAAGAAAGAAAAAUUUUCAAGUGGCAAAAUAUUUAUCCGCAAGGUAGAGACUUCCUUUCAAUUUUGUGCGUAAUAUACAAAGUUACACAUGUGUUGUUCAAGCUUUGUGUCCAGGCUCAGGUGGUCUGUGUGGGCACAGUUCAUUCGACCAUUUGGCCCUUACAGUAAAUCCUAUUGUUCGAGCCUAGACUAUUCGAGCACAAAGUUUCUUUCCUUGUCAAAAUCAUUUUCCAAAGGUGAUGCCCCCCAAUGUUCGAGGUCAAUCAUAGAGAAGCCUCGAGUACUGUUGACAAUCGGUCUUUGAUUCUAAGUUAGCAUGAUCCAUUGUUACCUCGUUAAAAACCUUGUCGGAAAACCCAUUUGGAACAAAACCGGAUCAAGGGAAAAAGAGUGCAACGCGUGCUUUCCUGCCUAAAAAAUUGUAGCGUUCUUUGACGGCUACCUGCAAGCGUUAGUUCAAAAUGUAGAUAAAUAAAAGAUGUAAAUGGGUUCGUACCUUAUCAGUAAUAUCGUUUCAAGUGAGUUACGUUCCAGUUGUUCGGUAGUUGUUCACCGUUCAUUGCUCCGAGUUUUUACGACCCUUUUCCGUUGAUCUCAAUAAUUUGAUACGAAACUUCCCAGUUUGUUCCCAUCUUUCCUUCGUUCGGGUUCCGGGUAUUUAAUGUGACCUUCGUCAACACUAAGUCCCCGACAUUAAAGUGUCGAAGGUUGGAUCUUCGAUUAUAAUACCUCUCGAUCCAUUGUUUUUGGGCGGUCAUUCGGACGAGGGUAGCUUCAUGCCUUUCAUCUAACAGUUCCAGGUUCGUAUUCACGGUCUCGUUGUUUGAUUCUUCAGUUGUAUAUCGGAACCUGAGACUCGGUUCUCCGACUUCAACCAGUAUUAGGGUUUCGGCACUGUAAACCAAUGUGAAUGGGGUAGCCCCGGUACUGGACUUCGAGGUCGUACGGUAUGCCCAUAGGACUUACGGCAAGAUUUAUUUCCAUUUUUCUUUGGCGUCGGUCAAUAUUUUUCUGAGGUUCAGGAGUAUAGUUUUGUUUGUAAACUCCGCUUGCUUGUUCCCACUAGGGUGAUAUGGUGUUGAUAGGAUUCUUUUGAUCUAAUGAUCUUCGAGAAACUUGCUUACUUUUUUGCCGAUGAACUACUUCCCAUUAUCACACAUGAUCUCGGCCGGCAUUCUGAACCGACAUAUUAUAUAGUCCCAGAUGAAAUCAAUGACUUCCUUCUCCCUGACUUUCACUUACGCCUGGGCUUCCACCUAUUUAGAAAAAUAGUCAGUCAUAAAUAAUAUAAAUUGAGCCUUACCGGGUGCCCAUAGAAAGAGGCGACAAUGUCCAUCCCCCAUUUCAUGUACGGCCAGGGCGAUAGGACCGAGUGUAACAGCUUCCCGGGCUGAUGAAUCGUCGGAGCAUGCCUUUGACAUCCGUCGCAUUUUCGUACAAUCUCGUUCGCGUCCUUUUCCAUGUCGAUCCAAUACUAGCCGCCUCUGAUUAUUUUCUGAACUAACGAUUCGGUGCCCGAAUGAUUUUCGCAGGUGCCUUCAUGGAUUUUCCUCAGAACAUACUCGGUGUCUCCGGGUCCUAGACAUAUUGCGAGUGGGCCAUCGAUCAUUCUCCGAAACAGUCUACCGUCUUCGGACAGGCCGAACCGGGCCGCCUUUGUACGCAGAGUCCUCGAUUCCUUUGUAUGCAGAGUCCUCGCAGAGGCCGAACCGGGCCGCCUUUCGAUCUUCAGAUAUUCUAUAUGUUUGUUUCUCUGGUCCCAAGUCAGGCUUGUUGAGUUUAUCUCGGCGUGACCUUCUUCCACUACUGAUCUCAUGAGUUGUACGACCACCCCCGAGUUGAACUCAUCGUCACGACCGACGAUCCCAAGUUAGCAAGGGCAUCGGCCUCGCUGUUUUGAUCUCGAGGCACAUGUUGUAGAGUCCACUCUUUGAACCGAUGUAAAUGUUACAUACAGUUUGUCCAGGUAUCUUUGCAUUUAUUCCUCUCUGACUUCGAACGUCCCAUUAACUUGGUUCACCACAAAGAGGGAGUCGUACUUAGCUUCAAUCACCUCUGCCUCCAAGCUUUUGGCAAGUUCGAGACCUGCAAUCUUGGCCUCAUACUCGGCCUCAUUGUUAGUUAAUUUUACAGUCCUAAUAGAUUGUGAAACUAAAUUACCGGCGGGUGGUUUCAAGACAAUUCCAAGUCCGGACCCCUUUGCGUUCGAGGCGCCGUCGAUAAAGAGUGUCCAGAUUCCCGAAGAAGUCCCCGAGUUUAACAACAACUCUCUUUCGAUCUCGGGUAUUAGAGCCAGUGUAAAGUCAGCCACAAAGUUUAUCAAAAUUUGAGACUUAAUGGCGGUCCGAGGCCGAUAUUUGAUGUCAUACCCACUGAUCUCUACGGCCCAUUUGGCCAACCGUACCGAGAGCUCGGGUUAUGCAUUAUAUUCCUUAAUGGUUAAUUGGUUACAACAUAUAUGGGGUGACAUUGAAAGUAUGGUUUUAGCUUCCUAAAGGCGCUUAGCAAAGUGAGUGCCAGCUUUUCUAGGUGAGGGUACCUAGUUUUGGCCACGCCAAGAGUCCUGCUAACAUAGUAAAUUGGAAAUUGCGUACCUUUCUCUUCGCGGACCGGAACUCCACUUACCGCUAUCUUCGAUACUGCCAAGUACAAGUAUAGUUGUUCGUCUGUCUUCAGCAUGUGAAGCAGCGGUGGGCUCGAUAGAUAUCGCUUGAGCUCCUCCAAGGCCUGUUGGCACUCCGAGGUCCAUGAGAAGUUAUUGUUUUUCUUCAAUAGUUAGAAUAAACGGUGUCUCUUGUCGGAUGACCUCGAAAUAAAUCGUCCCAAGGCAGCUAUGCAUCUGGUUAACCUUUGUACGACCUUCACGUUGUCCACAACAGUGAUAUCUUCAAUGGACUUGAUCUUAUCGGGGCUGAUCUUGGAUACCAUGAAUCUGAGGAAUUUGCCGAACCCAACUCCAAAUGCACAUUUCUCUAGGUUCAGCUUCAUAUUGUAUUAUUUCAAUAUGCUGAAGGUUUCCUGCAAAAAAUCGAAUAAUAAUUAAAUUUAUAAGUGGUUUUAAGGAUACGCGGAUUAACUUGAUACAAAGUAAUAAAUUAAGUUGCUAUUGAAUAAAAAAAGACGAAACAAAUUCAAACCACACGAGUUGGAUAGUUUGAGCCUAAGUAAAAUAGCCACUCUCGAACGAAGCUCACAAAGACCGGUAUGGAUGAAAAAGAACAAGAGCUUAAAGACAGAGAAAAAUAAUAAUGUAUUAUUUUCGAGUGCAUUUUACAAUGUGUCAAAUGAAUGAUUAAACCCCAUUUAUAUAGUAGGGGAGUCCUAUUUUAGGUACAACUCUAUAAAAAGGUAAAAAACUUUCUGAUUCGCUGAUUGUUGGUUCCUUAUCGACACGUGCCGAGAUUCUCGCCGUAACAUUCGGCCAGUCACAGAUAUUUCGGCCUUCUGUUGGCUAUGCUGGAUUGUCUGACAAUGUUGUUCGAAUUCGUUCGAAGCUAGGACCGAUUCUUGGAUCAUGGUCCUGAUAUUCUUGAAGGCAGACGUCAUGCCCCCCGGGUUCUAGCCCGGUGGGACUUUGGCUCGAUUUCGGUCCCUUAUUGCCAUAUCUCGAGCCUAUCUUAUCUUAUCGGAGGCUAGAAUGCACCAUGAGCUCGACUUUACCCGUAUACAAUAAGUGAUGAAAGUUGUAAAAGGAUAAGAGUGUUGAGCAAGGAAUAGUACAAGCUCCUCUACCCAGUUGUCCUGCCAAUAACUGUAUUCACAGAGGAUGGAAUCCGCUCGACAGCUAAAUAUCCAGGGACUUAAUUGUAAUACUAAAAACUAGUAAAGUAAAAAUAUUAGGACUUAAGUGUUAAUGACAAAACUAGACAUCUCCCUCUUUACAAACUAAUUCCAACGUCUAGGUGCAACUCCAUAAGCAGAAGGUACCAUUCAUCUGUUGUGAUACGCAUCAUUUCUCCCUUCUUGAAAUCUUCCUUGUCCUCAAGGAAGAAAAGCUGGAAACCUUGUCUUCAAGACAUGAUAAUCCUCCCAGGUAGUUUGAUCUCCAGGCAUCUGCUCCCAUUGCACAAGAACUUGGGCUAUAGCUUUGUUCCCAUUUUUGAUCAUUCUUCUGUCAAGUAUGGACUUAGGAGUAGGGUAGUAGGGGCUGGUAAUGUCCAUGACUGGAGGAUGAGUUAUAUUAUCAGGAACCUUGUAGUAUGGUUUUAGGAGGGAAACAUGGAAGGUGGGGUGUAUGGUGAUGUUAGAGGGAAGGCUCAAUUUGUAGGCAACUGUACCAAUUUUCUAAAUGAUUUGAUAAGGUCCAUAGUACUUGGUUGCUAGCUUUCAAAAGUGAUUGGUAGACAAGGUGAAUUGUCUGUAAGGUUGGAUCUUUAAGUAGACCCAAUCACUUACUUGGAACUGCCUAUCUGACUUGUGAUGGUUAGCUUGAGAGAACAUCCUUUGUUGAGCUUGAUUAAUGUGGUGCUUGAAGAGAUGUGUCUUGAAUUCUCUGGCAAUAAGACUCAUGUCUACUUGUUCAUCAACAGCAUCCCCAGGGAGGUAAGGUAAAUUUAUAGGAGGAGGUUGUCCAUAGAAAGCUUCAUAAGGGUUGUUUGGUUAGCAAAAUGGUGCGUGGUAUUGUACCACCACUCAGCGAGAGACAAAUAUAAGUGCCAGUCUUGUGGAGCAUCAGAACAAUAGCAUCUUAAGUAGGUCUCUAAGCACCUAUUUAGAACCUCAGUCUACCCAUCAGAUUGGGGAUGAUAAGCAGUAGAUGUGCUCAAAGUAACUCCGUGAGUAGAAAAAAGCUCUUGCCAGACUUUGCUGACAAACACUGGUUCCCUAUCACUAACUAUAUUCUCAGGCAUACCAUGUAGUUUGUAGACAUUAUCCAGGAAUAGUUGAGCUAUGUUUGCAGCUGUAUAGGGAUGAAAGACUUCCACAAAAUUGGCAUACUUGGUUAAACUAUCCACCACUACCCAAAAUACUGAUUUGCCUUUGGACUUAGGCAGUCCUUCCACAAAAUCCAUGCUACUACUUGACCAAGCAAUGCUAGGAACUACCAGGGGUUGGAGUAGACCAGGGUAAGGAGAACUAUCAUAUUUGCUCUUUUGAUAGAUAACACAUUCUUUAACAUGUGUAGUAAUAUCCUCCCUAUCCUCCUUCUGCAAGUAUUGUUGAUACCUGAGUGCCUUCCUAUGGGAAGGUCAUGCCAUUGCUGAAUCAUAUCCUUCCUUAGUUCUGUAUCAUUUUCCACAACUAACCUCCUAUUCUUCCUUAACUGUUGGUUAUCAUAAGAAUAACUAUUAUUUCCUUCUUCCUUGCUUUGUAUCUUCUUGAUCAAUUCCUGCGACUCAGGAUCAUUCUGCCAGCUUCCAAUGAUUCUUUGGAACAAGAUUGUCCCAGCUAGAUAGUGAGUCUGUAGCCUUGUUCUCCUUUCCUUUCUUGUAUUUAAUAGUAAGGUCAAAUUGCAUGAUCUUGGCUAUCCACUUCAUUUGAGUACCUAUAUGUAGCUUUUGCUCCAAAAGAAACUUAAAUGCCUUUUGAUCAGUCCUUACUAUGAAAUGCCUUCAUCUCAGAUACUGUGACCAUUUAGUGAUAGCCAACACCAAUGCCAAGCGUUCCUUAUCAUAUACUGAUAAGGUCUGAUGCCUGGGGGAGAGCCAUUUACUGAUGUAGGCUAUAGGGUGUCCUUUCUGCAUCAAGAUUGCUCCUAUCCCAAUGUCACAUGCAUCAGUCUCCACUAUGAAUUGUUGAGAGCUAUCAGGCAAAGCCAAUACAUGAGCAGUAACCAGGGCUGUCUUUAGAGCUUCAAAGGUUGUGGUAGCCUUAUCAUUACAAUUAAAAUUGUCCUUCUUCAAUAGGUCAGUAAGAGGUUUGCUAAUCACCCCAUACCUUUGUAUAAACCUUAUGUAAUAUCCAGGCAGCCCCAAGAACCCUCUUAGCUGAUUAAUAGUGGUUGGGACAGGCCAGUCUUGCACAACAGUAAUUUUUUCUAGAAUCAGUAGCAACACCAUCAGCAGAGAUAAAGUGGCCAAGGCAUUCAAUCAUGUUGCUUCCAAAUGAACACUUGGUUUCUCUUGCAAAUAGCUUAUGCUUCACCAAUAACUCAAAGGUUAGCUUAAGAUGUAUCGGGUGCUCCUCCAUGCUUUUGCUGAACACUAAAACGUCAUCAAACAAUACUAAGAUGAACUUUCUCAAGUACUCUUUGAAGAUGUGGUUCAUAAGGCCUUGGAAGAAAGAAGGGGCAUUGGUGAUCCCAAAUGGCAUCACCAAGUACUCAUAGUGGCCUGAGUGAGUUCUAAAUAUUGUCUUGGCUAUAUCAUCAGGAUCCAUUCUUAUCUGAUGGUAUCCUGAUCUGAGGUCAAUCUUUGUAAACACCUUAGAGCCACCAAGUUCAUCCAACAACUCUUCAAUGAUUGAAAUUGGAAACUUGUCUUUGAUAGUAGCUUUAUUUAAAGCUCUAUAAUAUACACAUAGUCUCCAUGAUCCAUCCUUCUUGCUAACUAGAACCAAAGGGGAAGCAUAUGGGCUGGAACUAGGCUGAACAAUGCCUUGGUCCAGCAUUUUUUGGACUAGCUUCUCAAUCAUAUCCUUGUGAGUUGAAGAGUACAUAUAAUGUAUGAUGUUAAUUGGGUUGCUACAAGCUUCUAAAGGUAUUAUGUGGUCAAAUAGUCCUCUAGAAGGUGGAAGCCCAGAAGGUUCUGAAAAUAGAACGUGGUACUCUUCUAUGAGGUUACUGAUUCUUGGCUCUAUCCCUGCAGAUUGAGGGAUUUUUGCAUCUUUAGAACCCUCUAUAGGUAUGACUCUCACCAUAAAUAACUGAGCUUCACCUUCAGCCAUCUUUCCUAGGGUUCUAGCAUCCACUGUCUUGAGUCUAGUAGCAUCACCUUAUAGCAGGUGCUUCUUUCCAUGAAGCUGGAAUUCCAUGGUGAGUUGGGUGAAAUUCAUCUUGAUAUCUCCAAGAGUUUGAAGCCACUGCACUCCUAGUACCAUGUCACAUGUUCCCAAGGUCAGCAGCAAGAAAUCAGUUUGGAAUGUGGUUCCUUGUAGCAACCAUUUCAACCAUUUACAUAGCUCAGUAGCAUACACGGUGCCACCAUCUGCAACACUAACAAGUUGAGGAUUGACUUUUUGAACUUGGCAACCAAACCUCUUAGCUACUUCACUGUCAAGGAAGUUGGGAGUACUUCCUUUGUCAAUCAACACACUGACAGGACCCUUCUCCGUGUAGCCUGUGACUCUCAAGGUGUGGAAGCCAGUUACCCCAUUGAGUGCAUUCAAUGAGAUGGUUACAGGAUCAACUUCUCCUCUUGCUUCAGCUUCCUUACUGGUUUCACAGACUUCCUCUUCUUGAACCUCUUCAACUUUCAUUACAUACAGUUGUUGAUUAUCAUUUUCAAGUUCCAUUCCUUCUUCCAUCUCCAACAAAAAUAGUUGUUUGUUGGUCUUACAUUUAUGUCCCAGGAAGAACUUUUCAUCACAAAAGCAACAAAGACCUUUUAGUCUUUUCUCAUUAAGCUCAACUGGUAUCAGCUUCUUUUCUCUGCCCUUGCUCCACUGGGAGUUGGGUUCUGGGGGUUUAUAAGGUGCUUUGGAACCUGAAUAUGGGACAAUAGAGGUGUUCUUUGAGGUUACCAAAGGGGUGGGAGAAGGAAAAAGUUUUAUGGUUAUGUGUUGAGCUUGGUAAGAUGACUCUUGUAACCUGGCCAGGCAGUAAGCUUGAGGUAAGGAAUUUGGUCUGUAAGCUUUGACAUUAUCUUUGUAUUCAUGCCUAAGACUAGCUAUGAAACAGCUGAUGGCAUACUCCAUUGGGGAUAACCUAUUCAUGGACCUAUCAAAUUGGUCUUGGUAGUCUUUCACAUCUCCAGUUUGAAAUAACAACUUGAGCUCAGCUAGGGGGUCAUCAUACUCAGCACCAAAUCUAUCGAUUAAGGAAUAUAAAUACUCAUCCCAACUGGGAUAAGAUAAGUGCAUUCUACUUUUCAUAUAAGCUUGGUGCCAUUCUAUAGCAACUCCCUCUAAAUAAAUGGAAACCACCUUAAUUUUCUGAACAGUAGGAAUUUCUUCUAUAGAGAAAAAUUGCUCAAUCUUAUAGAGCCAAGAUCUGAGAUCCUUACCAUCAAAAUGAGAAAACUCUAAUUUCCCUAAUCUGGAUAGAGUGUUUGCGUGUGUAACACCAUGAGAACCUCCUGUGACAGCAGCUCCAUUAUAUCCUCCUAGUGUUGGCAUAGGCUAAUUUUAUUGAGAUGGUGUGCCUCCAAGAUUGGCCCCAACACCUACUGAUGGAGACUGUAUCAUCCCAGGUCCAGUAACUACAGGAUGGUUCAAUGGUUGAGUAGAAGGUAGAUUAUAAGAGCUUCUCAUAACCUGCGCUCCAUUUCCUCCAAAGGGUCCAACUGUUGGUGAAUAAAGCUCAACACCCAGAUCUUGCUUAGAUAAGCUCUUGCCCUUAUCCUGGUGCCUUUCUGAAGCUUGUAAUGCUUCCCUCGUCUCGCUAAGGUCCUUAUCUCGAUUCUCUUCUAUUUGGUUUUGUCGCAUCGUGAUGUUUGCUAUUUUCAUCGAAAGCCUUUCGACAGCAUCAACCAAGUUCUUUAUAACGGAAGCCAUUACUCACAGUCCAAGAGCAAUGCUCUGAUACUAAAUGAUACAACUGCAAUGGAACAGUGCAAUAUUUGGAAGAGAAGAAGAAAAACUAGCUAAACUAAGCUAAAUUAAAUUAGGAGGUUUUAAAUAUAAUAAACCCUAUCAACUAUUACAAUAGAUAUUCGACAGCUAAAUGUCCAGAGACUUAAUUGUAAUACUAAAAACUUGUAAAGUAAAAACAUUAGGACUUAAGUGUUAAUGACAAAACUAGACUCUUCCCUCCUUACAAACUAAUUCCAACGGCUAGGUGCAACUCCGCAAGCAAUGCUUCCCUCAGCUCAAACAAUGCUUCCCUUAGCUCAAACAAUGCUUCCCUCAGCUCGUUAAAGGCCUUAUCUCGAUUCUCUUCUAUUUGGUUUUGACACAUCGUGAUGUUUGCUAUUUCUAUCGAAAGCAUUUCGACAGCAUCAGCCAAGUUCUUUAUAUCGGAAGCCAUUACUCACAGUCCAAGAGCAAUGCUCUGAUACCAAAUGAUGCAGUUGCAAUGAAACAGUGCAAUAUUUGGAAGAGAAGAAGAAAAACUAGCUAAACUAAGCUAAAUUAAACUAGGAGGUUUUAAUGAUAAUAAACCCUAUCAACUAUUACAAUAGAUAUAUGUGAUGAAAGUUGUAAAAGGAUAAGAGUGUUGAGCAAAGAAUAGUACGAGCUCCUCCGCCCAACUAUCCUGCCAAUAACUGUAUUUGCAGAGGAUGAAAUCUGCUCGAUAGCUAAAUGUCCAGGGACUUAAUUGCAAUACUAAAAACUUGUAAAGUAAAAAUAUUAGGACUUAAGUGUUAAUAACAAAACUAGACUUCUCCCUCUUUACAAACUAAUUCCAAUGGCUAGGCGCAACUCCGCAAGCAGAAGGUAUCAUUCCUCUGUUGUAAUACGCAUCAUUAUCUUAUCUCUUUUUCUUAGAAAAUAUAACUCUUUAAAAAGAUUAAGUAAUACUUACUACAAUUGUUUUCGUGUCCAUCAUAUACGAACACUUAGGCGCGCAUACAGCACAAGUAACGAAACGGUCUUGUUAGUACAAGGAUGAAAAUAGAUUUAACUUAUACUCCAUACUAGUGCAAAAGACGAUUAUUGUAGCAGUAACAAAAACUACUUUAUCCGCUUAAGUAAUUUUUUGGUUAUUUUUCCUACAUAUUAAAAAAUUUAUCUUUUAACAUUAACUAACAAUAUAAUUGACCGUAUUAACCUUAAUUUAUUCAUUAAAAAUACAACAAAUGCUCCUAGGCUCUUUACUCCAAGGACAACUUUGGAAAAAAGAAGUUAAUUCUUUCUUGAUAUUUGAAAAAAUUAAAUAUUGUGGACCACAAAAAAAAGCCAAAAAAUCACUUAAAGUUAAUUCUUUUUAGUGUUAUUAAUUAAUCUCAUUUAUUGUUAUGAAUUAUCUUUUAAUUGACUGAUAGUGUUAAAAAAAAAAGUUACUCCAUUAUUUAGUGUGUGUAAAUUUAAACUGGUCAACUCCCACGGCAAAUUUGGACCGAAAGCAAUAAGCUACCAUGUACACACCCCAUAGUGCAAACAAAAAGCUGUAAAACUAGAAUAUGAUUAAAAUUAAAAAUAAAAAAAACAGAAACUAGAGUCCAAACAUUCCAGUUACUACACCAUUAGAUAAUUAUCCAACUGGGAAGCUAAAAUCACAUAGCAUAGCACUGCAUUUUAUUUUCCUUAACAUAUGAAGCUUUAUUCGUGAUAAUUUGUUCAUGUACGUACGUGCACUCAUUAGACAUCAGUUGGAAGUUCCAACUUGGAAUCAAAAGGUUGCUCCUCAAGAUCGCCAAAGGGACGUUGUCCUCUAUAAUUACCUGGUGGAUCAUAAUUGCAAGUUAUGAAAAACCAACCAUUGUUACAUCUAACCCUAGCACAGCCAAGACGUACUGAGUUACGCCAUACCACCUGAGUAUAGUGUCCACAUACUCCUCCUACGCAAGAAUUUGAAUUGUAAUCGUAGAAACGCUUCUCAUCAACCCACAUUUUUACAGCACCAGCGGCG